AAAUGGUCCCAAAGGAUCAUGUCUCUUACAGCUGAAGAUAUUUCUUGGUAUUCUAGAAGCUACGACAAACACAAGAUCAUCCUCAAUUGUGAUAAUGUCCUAAAUAUUUCCCUCUUAUGUACAAAGCUAUUCAAGGAGUAAUUUGAUUUAAAACCAGAAUGAUUUAUUUUCCAAUAAGGGAUGAUUAGCUAUCGUGAAUAAGAAGAUGCGCAAGGAAAAUAGAUUUAGGGUUUUAUGAU
rnacentral:lncRNA from 1 species